ensembl:snRNA U6 U6 spliceosomal RNA
UUGCUUGCUUUGGCAACACAUAUACUAAAACUGGAAUACAGAGAAGAUUAGCAUGGCCCCUGCACAGGAUGACAUGCAGAUUUGUGAUGCAUUCCACUUUUUU